AACGAACGCUGGCGGCAGGCCUAACACAUGCAAGUCGGACGAGGUUUUCGGACCUAGUGGCGGACGGGUGAGUAACGCGUGGGAACGUGCCCUUUGGUUCGGAAUAGCCCCGGGAAACUGGGAGUAAUACCGGAUAAGCCCUACGGGGGAAAGAUUUAUCGCCAAAGGAUCGGCCCGCGUUGGAUUAGGUAGUUGGUGGGGUAAUGGCCUACCAAGCCGACGAUCCAUAGCUGGUUUGAGAGGAUGAUCAGCCACACUGGGACUGGGACACGGCCCAGACUCCUACGGGAGGCAGCAGUGGGGAAUCUUAGACAAUGGGGGAAACCCUGAUCUAGCCAUGCCGCGUGAUCGAUGAAGGCCUUAGGGUUGUAAAGAUCUUUCAGUGGGGAAGAUAAUGACUGUACUCACAGAAGAAGCCCCGGCUAACUCCGUGCCAGCAGCCGCCGUAAGAC
rnacentral:rRNA from 1 species